rnacentral:rRNA from 1 species
UACAGAGGGGGCAAGCGUUGUUCGGAAUUACUGGGCGUAAAGGGCGCGUAGGCGGCCCGCUAAGUCGAACGUGAAAUCCCCGAGCUCAACUCGGGAACUGCGUCCGAUACUGGCGGGCUUGAAUCCGGGAGAGGAUGCGGAAUUCCAGGUGUAGCGGUGAAAUGCGUAGAUAUCAGGAGGAACACCGGUGGCGAAGGCGGUUCUCUGGGCAUUACCUGACGCUGAGGAGCGAAAGUGUGGGGAGCGAACAGG